rnacentral:rRNA from 1 species
GACGAACGCUGGCGGCGUGCUUAACACAUGCAAGUCGAACGGAAAGGCCCCUUUGGGGGUACUCGAGUGGCGAACGGGUGAGUAACACGUGAGUAACCUGCCCUUGACUUCGGGAUAACUUCAGGAAACUGGGGCUAAUACCGGAUAGGAAUCUUUGCUGCAUGGUGGGGGUUGGAAAGCUUCGGCGGUUUUGGAUGGACUCGCGGCUUAUCAGCUUGUUGGUGGGGUAGUGGCUUACCAAGGCUUUGACGGGUAGCCGGCCUGAGAGGGCGACCGGCCACAUUGGGACUGAGAUACGGCCCAGACUCCUACGGGAGGCAGCAGUGGGGAAUAUUGCACAAUGGGCGGAAGCCUGAUGCAGCAACGCCGCGUGCGGGAUGACGGCCUUCGGGUUGUAAACCGCUUUCAGCAGGGGCGAAGCUUGUGGUGACGGUACCUGCAGAAGAAGCACCGGCUAACUACGUG